AAUUAGGCCGCAUGAGGGGUAUCAUUACAAUGCGUGUGUGCAUAAAUGAUAACAUGCAGAGUGAUCUAGGAGCCGAAUCCGGCGAUCCGACGUGAGCUCAUGGACGGGGUGGUGAGUGGGAGGCCCUAUGGACGGGGAGCGUCGGGACGCCCACAAUCAAUACUUGAGGAUAAUGUAGAGUGCGUGAAUAAUUCCGGGAAUAUAACCCAGGAUUGUUAGUAGGAUGUUGAUCAGCAGGUCCGCGCCACAACCACGUUCAAGGAACACUCCUAGUGGCGGGAGGAGGAUUGCAAAGAGAAUCUUGCAGAUGUCUGACGCGG
rnacentral:misc_RNA from 1 species